GCCAGACAGUCCUAUAGUUUCAGUGCCCCUGAAUACAUACGGUAUCUGUCUUGUUUAUGACAUCGUACCAUUGGAAUAUAUUGUCGUCUUCCCAGGUGAUUAUUUGCACCGAUGGAAAGGCCUACACAGACCUGGGGAAUCUGGAGGUGGAGGACAACAAUAAAGCUCGAUAUUUCCUCUACUCCACCAUCUUCUACCAAGACCUGGGGUGACAGUGGCAGUGUUGGCCAUUGAGGGGAAAGACUGCAGACUUGAUGAGCAGGGGAGACCAGCAGGUCAUACAGGCGAAACGGUUUGUGAUACAUAAAGCAGGGUUCUCCAACCCUGUUCCUGGAGAGCUACCCUCCUGUAGGUUCAUUUCAACCCCACUUGUAACUAUCCUGAUUCAGCUUAUCAACCAGUUAAUUAUUAGAAUCAGGUGCGCUAGAUUGGGGUUGGAGCGAAAACCUACCCUGCAAUAAAGAAUCUUUCGUGCUUUGUAUUUUUGAGCUACAAAUCGAUUUGGCUUGCUCGUGAUCAGUCAGUUGUGCAAGAUGUGUCUUUUAAUAUGGUACUGUAUGUGUUUUCUUUUCCCCCUAGGUGGUGAUAGCAAGCUGUAUAUAUAGCAAGCUAUAUGAACUACACACUGAAUUUAUUUGAGAUUAUAGAGAACAGGACGAUAGCUACACAUUGUAGUGUGAAUUUGCUGCUCCCAACAACUCUGUGAAAAUCAUCACUCCCCAAUCAAUCAUCAAUCAGAAGACGCACCUCCUCCUGUUUCCUACCCAAUCACCGUUCCUUUCCCUUUGUUUAGAAACCCUGUCAGUUGUUUGCUGUGGAGCUCAAUCUCUCUGUCUCUUUGUUUCACUCUCUCUGUGUAUUGACCUCUCUUUUGUUUGAGCACCUCCAUAGCACUUUGUCAUCACAUGUGAGUAUUGUUUUGGUUAUGGUGUUUGUUUGUUGCUGGUGGGAAAAGGGGGAAACCAAGACAAGUCGCCCAUGGGCAUACACUAACCGUAGGUAAACUUUGUUAAAUACACUAGUUAGAACUGGGCGGACCACCCACUGUAUUUUUGGUUAGCUGUUGUUAAAGUAGGCUAGUUUAGCUUAGGGGUGUUUUUGAAUACUUAUUGUUUCUUUCCUUGGGUCCAGCUCAGCCCCUUU